AUAAUGGGUCAGCGACUUAUAUUCUGUAGCAAGGUUAACCGAAUAGGGGAGCCGAAGGGAAACCGAGUCUUAACUGGGCGUUAAGUUGCAGGGUAUAGACCCGAAACCCGGUGAUCUAGCCAUGGGCAGGUUGAAGGUUGGGUAACACUAACUGGAGGACCGAACCGACUAAUGUUGAAAAAUUAGCGGAUGACUUGUGGCUGGGGGUGAAAGGCCAAUCAAACCGGGAGAUAGCUGGUUCUCCCCGAAAGCUAUUUAGGUAGCGCCUCGUGAAUUCAUCUCCGGGGGUAGAGCACUGUUUCGGCAAGGGGGUCAUCCCGACUUACCAACCCGAUGCAAACUGCGAAUACCGGAGAAUGUUAUCACGGGAGACACACGGCGGGUGCUAACGUCCGUCGUGAAGAGGGAAACAACCCAGACCGCCAGCUAAGGUCCCAAAGUCAUGGUUAAGUGGGAAACGAUGUGGGAAGGCCCAGACAGCCAGGAUGUUGGCUUAGAAGCAGCCAUCAUUUAAAGAAAGCGUAAUAGCUCACUGGUCGAGUCGGCCUGCGCGGAAGAUGUAACGGGGCUAAACCAUGCACCGAAGCUGCGGCAGCGACACUAUGUGUUGUUGGGUAGGGGAGCGUUCUGUAAGCCUGUGAAGGUGUACUGUGAGGUAUGCUGGAGGUAUCAGAAGUGCGAAUGCUGACAUAAGUAACGAUAAAGCGGGUGAAAAGCCCGCUCGCCGGAAGACCAAGGGUUCCUGUCCAACGUUAAUCGGGGCAGGGUGAGUCGACCCCUAAGGCGAGGCCGAAAGGCGUAGUCGAUGGGAAACAGGUUAAUAUUCCUGUACUUGGUGUUACUGCGAAGGGGGGACGGAGAAGGCUAUGUUGGCCGGGCGACGGUUGUCCCGGUUUAAGCGUGUAGGCUGGUUUUCCAGGCAAAUCCGGAAAAUCAAGGCUGAGGCGUGAUGACGAGGCACUACGGUGCUGAAGCAACAAAUGCCCUGCUUCCAGGAAAAGCCUCUAAGCAUCAGGUAACAUCAAAUCGUACCCCAAACCGACACAGGUGGUCAGGUAGAGAAUACCAAGGCGCUUGAGAGAACUCGGGUGAAGGAACUAGGCAAAAUGGUGCCGUAACUUCGGGAGAAGGCACGCUGAUACGUAGGUGAAGUCCCUCGCGGAUGGAGCUGAAAUCAGUCGAAGAUACCAGCUGGCUGCAACUGUUUAUUAAAAACACAGCACUGUGCAAACACGAAAGUGGACGUAUACGGUGUGACGCCUGCCCGGUGCCGGAAGGUUAAUUGAUGGGGUCAGCGCAAGCGAAGCUCUUGAUCGAAGCCCCGGUAAACGGCGGCCGUAACUAUAACGGUCCUAAGGUAGCGAAAUUCCUUGUCGGGUAAGUUCCGACCUGCACGAAUGGCGUAAUGAUGGCCAGGCUGUCUCCACCCGAGACUCAGUGAAAUUGAACUCGCUGUGAAGAUGCAGUGUACCCGCGGCAAGACGGAAAGACCCCGUGAACCUUUACUAUAGCUUGACACUGAACAUUGAGCCUUGAUGUGUAGGAUAGGUGGGAGGCUUUGAAGUGUGGACGCCAGUCUGCAUGGAGCCGACCUUGAAAUACCACCCUUUAAUGUUU
rnacentral:rRNA from 1 species